CGAGCCCAUCAACAAAGAACCUAGUGAGGGGCUGUUGCAAAUAGGAAUCGAUACACACUCACAAUGUCAAUCAGCAAUGCAUUUUGAUGUGUGUCUUUUUUUGUAUUCACAUUGUUUGUGUCCAGCGGACCUUACCUGUCGUUCAAUUAAAUAAUACACAAAUACACUGUAACUAAAUGUGACACUUCGUAGACUUGAAACUUCAGUAUAAGUUCUCAAAGCACUUCUCACUAGAUGUUACAUGUGAUAUUGUUGGUGUUACAUUUGAAGACCAAACAAUAUGGUCAGAAACAUCUUAAAUAAAAGUCCGCAAUUUAAAAAAAAA
rnacentral:sRNA from 1 species